GGAUGAGAGGGUGAUCUGACAGAGACAGCUGUCAUCCGUCAACCAGUUGACCUUCGAGGUUAAUUCACCUGAUCUAACUGGCUGACUAAGGGUCAUCUCCAUCCAUCCUCACUACCCCAUGGGCAUCCCUUCCAAAAGACCUUAAAGGAUAAUGGAAAAAAAAGUAAUUCUUUCUUUAAUAAAGGCUAUUUGUUCAAUAAAUGUUACCAAGUUUUUUUCUAAAUACAUAUCAAAUAUUAUCUAU
rnacentral:sRNA from 1 species